CAGUAACGGCGAGUGAAGCGGCAACAGCUCAAAUUUGAAAUCUGGCUCCUUUCGGGGUCCGAAUUGUAAUUUGUAGAGAGUGCUUCGGGCGAGACCUCGGUCUAAGUCCAUUGGAACAUGGUGUCAUAGAGGGUGAGAAUCCCGUAUGCGACCGUGGCUCGAGCCCAUGUGAAGCCUCUUCGACGAGUCGAGUUGUUUGGGAAUGCAGCUCAAAAUGGGUGGUAAAUUUCAUCUAAAGCUAAAUACUGGCUGGAGACCGAUAGCGCACAAGUAGAGUGAUCGAAAGAUGAAAAGCACUUUGGAAAGAGAGUCAAACAGUACGUGAAAUUGUUGAAAGGGAAGCGCUUGCAACCAGACCUGCCCGUAGGCGAUCAGCCGCUGUUCUCAGCGGUGUACUCGCUCUGCGAUCAGGCCAGCAUCGGUUUCGGCGGUCGGAUAAAGACCUUGGGAAUGUAGCUUCCCUUCGGGGAAGUCUUAUAGCCCUCGGUGUAAUGCGGCCAGCCGGGACCGAGGACCGCGCUUCGGCUAGGAUGCUGGCGUAAUGGUUGUAAGCGACCCGUCUUGAAACACGGACCAAGGAGUCUAACAUCUAUGCGAGUGUUUGGGUGUCAAACCCAUACGCGGAAUGAAAGUGAACGGAGGUGAGAACCCUUAAGGGCGCAUCAUCGACCGAUCCAGAUGUCUUCGGAUGGAUUUGAGUAUGAGCAUAGCUGUUGGGACCCGAAAGAUGGUGAACUAUGCCUGAAUAGGGUGAAGCCAGAGGAAACUCUGGUGGAGGCUCGCAGCGGUUCUGACGUGCAAAUCGAUCGUCAAAUUUGGGUAUAGGGGCGAAAGACUAAUC
rnacentral:rRNA from 1 species